rnacentral:lncRNA from 1 species
UUAUCAUUUGCUUUCGCAGUUGCCAGCUUGUCUGCAUCUCUUAAUCCUUUAUCCUCUUUCAUUACGCAGUUCUCAUCAUGUUUUCCCAUCUUCUCUACAGUUAGCCUACUGAAGGCCUCCUUUUCAGAAUCAACCGAAGAAAUAACUGGGAACUGUUGCGUUUGAUAGGCAUUCCUCUGUUCUUCAUCUUUGUCUUCACUGGUCUUACUUUGCAGAACAUUUAUAACUUUGACCUCGUUUUUCUUCCCUUCUGCUUCCAUCCUGCUGCUUGAAGUGCUUUCCUGAGCUUGCAAGUACUGAGAAUUCUUUGAUUUGGAGUCCAGUGAAAUGGGAGCCGUGGGAGUGUCCGUUGCUGUCUCUUUUGAUUGUCUUUUGAAACCAGGAGGACUGGGAGACGUUGAGGUUGUGUUACCAUUCUUCUUCCGAGGUAAGGGAUCAACUCUUAGACAAACAGGAGGUAACUUUGAUGUUUUUGGAGGGGACGAUGACUGCCUUUUUGUCCUAGAUCCAGUAGCUUUUCCCAUAACAUUAUCUCCUUCAUUUUUCAAAGAAACAUCUCUUCCUCUCUGCUCAACAUCUUCAGAGUUGUCCUUCUUCUUAGGUUCUUCUACUUGUUUCACAGGAAUGCUUCUUUGUUUUGAACUUUUUUCCUUCAACUCCAAACCCACCUGGCUGCCAGAAUUCUUAUUAGUCACUUGAGAUUUAUUAAUGCUAUCAUCAUUAUUGGGGCAUCUCACUAGGUGUAACUGGCCACUGGAAGCUGGCUCUUCC